CUUGAUCCGUCUUUAAUCGAAAAGCGUUUAACCUACAGCAGCAGGGCGACCUCUGUUUGACACAGGUGCGAGUGACCCUGUUAAGGCUGGAGAUGAAGAUGCGGCAGAUGACUAUGGCGCUGUGGUCAGUAUUGGCACUGCUGGCGUUGAGUUUGUUUGUUUUGCUCGUGUUUGCAUGGGUUUCCUCCAGGUGCUCAGAUAUGCUGGUAAGUUAAUUUUCUCCUGGGAUAACUGGCGUGUGUGCGCAUGCGCGUGUUCCUGUGUGCUCUGUAGUGGACUGGCGUACCAUCCAGGGUGCAGCCUCCCUAGAACCUGUUGCUUGCUAGAAUUGGAUUCCCUGUUGCUACCUUGCAUUGGAUAAAGUGGUUAGAAGAUGGAUUGAUCCACUUUACCACUACUUCCUGGGAAUGGGGACAGACAAUCAGCUCAUCACCCGGGAGUUUGAACCAGGCAGUGAGACUGCUGAAGAAGAAGGCAACAAACACCCCACAGGAAUAUAUAAACACACAGUUCUAUAAGAACAUCCUCCACAGACAGAGAAAAACCCCUAACAAUGAGUGCAGGGUUGAAUGUGGCCAAUACCCAGAAGAGAGGAAUGAAACAUGAACUACAACUGAAAAACGGAGGCUGGAAUUCCUACAGUACUACCACAAGGCCCUGCAGAGCCAAGAGCUGACCCCAGAGAGGAGCUGCCUGAAGCUCACUGACACCAGCCAGCCUCAGGACAGCACAAAUCAAAGUCAACCAAAUCACAGCACCAGCCAGACAACACUGGGACACACACACGAACACCACACACCACAUUUCAGAUUUAGCACACAGCUACGUACUAAGUUGUGGACUAGUUAUUAUGGUGCUGUUUGGAGAUCAUCUCCAGCUUUAGGUCUUUUGCACUGAAAAGAAACAUGCAGAACAAAGCUGGAGACCACCUGAACUUGUGGCCAGUACAGUCCUGAGUGCUCAGCAUUGCUGUUGUUCUAAUUGGCACGAACAGCAGGGGGCACUGAAUCAUUUCAAUUAAUCUGAUCAGUGAGUUUAUAUGUAGGCCACGUUAAUAUACAAUUAUUACUUUUUCGGUUUUAUAUAUAACUGGAUGUCCCUGACAAUUUAAUGUUAUUUUUUUAAAACUUUACCAGGUGAGUGUACAUAACUGCUGAUGCUACAAUGUGUGUAGGCUACAUUGUAUCUAAUGCUAUAAAGGUAAGUUUUAUGUGCUUUGCGGGCUUCUGUUUGUUGCACUUUAUCCAAGAGUUUUUUUCUUUAAUGUGCCUUUACAACUAAUUCUCUGGUCCCCCAAUUCCUCAGUAUCCCUGCUUCCCUCUGAGAACCACAAGUGUGGAGCAGCAUUACAAUACAAAUACAACAAGUCUAUUCAUGUGAGGACCCCUUGUGACAGAACACAUUUAAGACUUACACUCCAUUUAUAGAUAUAUUUCCUUCAUUUCAGUUCUUUUCUCUCCCCAGAAUAUCUGAACAUACUAAAGGCUCUACAAGCGUUUGCUGUAAUACAGCUACUAAUAAAGAUCUUUGAUCUCCUGUCAGGAACAGUGAGCCUGUCUCCCAAUAAUAUUUUCAGUUUUCUGUGAUGAAUGUACAUGUCCAAUAACAUGCAUAUAGUGUAAAUGUUGUUGAUUGUAAAUAAUUUGUCUGCAUUGUAAUUAAUCAGUCAUGCUACUAGAACAUCGAAUUUGAAUUGGAGUUCACUCGUUACUGUAAUAUAACCCUCUUACUGUCUUGUCUCCCCGCCUCUCUCUCUCCGUGAUGCUGUUGGAGACAAAAGCGCUCAGGCGAGUACAGACAUGGAGAGCUCUGGGCUCCGGCAGCUUCUACUGCUGAUCUGCUUUUUCUUAGGUCCUUGGCUCUCUGUGUCCCAGUCUGAGGAAAAGCAGCAGAUCAGACUCACUGCAGGAGAGUCCUUCACCUUCCCUAAUGCAAUAAUACCGUCAGGACAUCUAAAGUACACAGGCCUGGGCACUAUUAUAACUGUCCAAAAUAAUGUCAGUGACACUGAAUAUGAAACAAGCUUCAGAGGGAGAGUAUAUUGGGACAGCAGGACUGGACAGAUUACCAUCACAAAUCUAAUUGUGCAGGACUCUGGAGAGUUUGAACUGGAGUCAACAAAAGCAAAUCGCUUUAUCAAGAACUUCAUUCUCAAAGUCUACAAUCGUGUCUCCAGACCUCAAGUCAAAAACUCAGAUCAGAGACACAACCAGUUC